rnacentral:sRNA from 1 species
UCUCGUCUGGGCGUGCUCUCUUAAAGGGGAAGUGGUGCGUUCUGACUGGCCAGGGCCCUCAUCCAGGAGCCAGGAAACAUCUACUACCACGAGUCGCGUUGCCCAGCGUGUCACUGGCUCAGCCUCCUUAUCCAAACGGCAAGGCAGCCUCCCCGGGAUGUAGAGAAGACACGGUUCAAUGUGUAGACCUUCUCCCUCUCCAGUGUCUCCAGCCUCCAAUCCCAGGACAUCACUAGUACAGGUGAAAACAAAAGCCUGUCUCAGCGGCCAUCACUCUGCCAGCAGCACCUCAAAGCCAUUCAAAACGCCCAAAGACAAUCUACUUACCUCCAGCAGCAAACAGCACACAGUCUUUCCUGCGAAAGGAUCAAGGGAUAAACCAUGUGUUCCGGUUCCUGUAGUCAGUUUAGAGAAAAUUCCUAACCUAGUGAAGGCAGAUGGUGCCAAUGUCAAAAUGAACUCCACAACCACUACUGCAGUUUCUGCCUCCUCCACCUCGUCCUCUGCCAUCUCCACCCCUCCUUUAAUUAAGCCUGUCCUGAUGUCCAAGUCAGUGCCACCUUCACCAGAGAAGAUCUUAAAUGGCAAAGGAAUUCUGCCAACCACCAUAGACAAGAAACACCAAAAUGGCACCAAAAACAGCAACAAGCCUUACAGGAGACUUUCAGACACAUUCGCUAAGCCAUCGGAGGGCAGUCCCAGGCCGGAAAAAGCAAUUUGACCUCCUCCUGGCAGAACACAAAGCAAAGUCCCGGGAAAAAGAAGUUAAAGAUAAAGAGCAUCUCCUGACUUCCACGAGGGAAAUACUUCCAAGCCAAUCCGGGCCGGCACAGGAUUCUCUGCUAGGGUCUUCAGGGAGCUCUGGGCCAGAACCGAAAGUUGCAUCCCCUGCAAAAUCCAGACCACCUA